ACCCGGCUAACUCAGUCGGUAGAACAAGAAACUCUUAUUCUCGGGGUCGUGGGUUCGAGCCCCACGUUGGGUG
rnacentral:tRNA from 1 species